rnacentral:ribozyme from 1 species
CUAACUGGUUCGUGAGAAUAGGUUAGUCUUCAGAAGAUGACAAGCCUGUGGGGCGUAAGUAAGUGCAUAUCUAUACUGUACUAAAUACGAUAAGAUAAGUAUAGAAAUACUCGUAUUUGUGCUUACGAUCGUGCGGACGUAAAAACCAGGU